rnacentral:rRNA from 1 species
AUGUCGUCGACCACUGCACUACCUAACAAAGCCGUGGAAACGUGUUGCCGGCAAGAAAAAUGCGCACGCAUCGCCGGGACCGCCAUCGACCCUAACUGGACGGAUUGGGCGGACCUGAUCGCCGGGCCGGCAGGCCUGAUCGCCGAGCGUGUCCUCGCGGAUGACGUUGCCGACUACCUCCGCUUCCGCGCGGUGUGCCGCACAUGGCGGCGAUGCACCGCGUCCCCGCACGCGCAUGACAGCCUGGACCGCCGGUUCCACCCCCGGCGGUGGAUCAUGCUCGCACAGACCCUCGGCGCCAUCCGGAAGCGCCGUGACUUUCUAAACAUCUCGACCGGGGAGCGCAUCCGGGUGAACCUGCCGGAGCUCCGCUACCAGUACGUGUUCAGGGCCACCUCUGAUGGCGGCCUCAUCGUGCUGUGCGACAAGCGCACCUACGUCGUCCGCCUCCUCAACCCGCUCACCCGGCAGCUGACCACCCUCCCGGCCGCGAUCAGGCAGCAGUACACUGGGAGCACCCAAAGACGUAAUGGCAACGAUAAGCAGUGGACGCGGUUGCACACCGGCCACAUCAUUACAACCUUGCCAUUCGCGGGCUGCUUCUACUGCCUCACCGAGACAGCCCUCAUGGGGGCGGACACGACCGCGUCCACAAACCCGCAGCUGGCAGUGGCGUCCGAACUGGGUGAUAUGGGUUCUGCGCGGUAUGAUCAAACCGUGAAAUUAGUGGACAACGACGGGGAACUAGUUCUUGUGUGUCGGAUCAUGCGUGACAAUAACAACACUUUCCGGAAAGGUUAUGAGGUGUACCGGGUGGAUCUGGAGGCAGGAAUCACCCUACCGAUGCAGCAAGGAAUCGGUGGGCGCGCCUUGUUUGCUAUCCAAUCAUGUUCGUGCUGA